GAUGAAGAACGCAGCGAAAUGCGAUACUUGGUGUGAAUUGCAGAAUCCCGUGAACCAUCGAGUCUUUGAACGCAAGUUGCGCCCGAAGCCAUUAGGCCGAGGGCACGCCUGCCUGGGCGUCACACGUCGUUGCCCCCCCAUCUACUCCUUCGGGAUUGCGGGGGGCGGAUGAUGGCCUCCCGUGCGCCACGCCGCGCGGUUGGCAUAAAUGCCAAGUCCUCGGCGACGCACGCCACGACAAUCGGUGGUUGCGAAACCUCGGUUGCCCGUCGUGUGCGGUCGUCGCGCAUCGAGGGCUCGAAAAAAUUGCCGGGUUCCGGCUCGGCUUUCAACGCGACCCCAGGUCAGGCGGGGUUACCCGCUGAAUUUAAGCAUAUCAUAAGCGGAGGA
rnacentral:misc_RNA from 1 species